rnacentral:rRNA from 1 species
GGGUUCGAUUCCGGAGAGGGAGCCCGAGAAACGGCUACCNNNNNNANNGAAGGCAGCAGGCGCGCAAAUUACCCAAUCCCGACACGGGGAGGUAGUGACAAUAAAUAACAAUACGGGGCUCUUUCGGGUCUCGUAAUUGGAAUGAGUACAAUUUAAAUCCCUUAACGAGGAACAAUUGGAGGGCAAGUCUGGUGCCAGCAGCCGCGGUAAUUCCAGCUCCAAUAGCGUAUAUUAAAGUUGUUGCAGUUAAAAAGCUCGUAGUUGAAUUUCGGGAUUGACACAUCGGUCGUGCCUUAAGGGGUAUGAACUGGUGUAGUCAAUUUCUCACCUUCUGGAGAACCGCAAUGCCCUUAAUUGGGUGUCGCGGGGAACCAGGACCUUUACUUUGAAAAAAUUAGAGUGUUUAAAGCAGGCAUUUUGCUUGAAUACAUUAGCAUGGAAUAAUAAAAUAGGACGGCAUGAUUCUAUUUUGUUGGUUUCUAGGAUCACCGUAAUGAUUAAUAGGGAUAGUUGGGGGCAUUAGUAUUCAAUUGUCAGAGGUGAAAUUCUUGGAUUUAUUGAAGACUAACUACUGCGAAAGCAUUUGCCAAGGAUGUUUUCAUUAAUCAAGAACGAAAGUUAGGGGAUCGAAGACGAUCAGAUACCGUCGUAGUCUUAACCAUAAACUAUGCCGACUAGGAAUCAGACGAUGUUAACUUUUUAAUGACUCGUUUGGCACCUUACGGGAAACCA